CGUAUGAGGGCUGUGGAGGGAGUGGA
rnacentral:piRNA from 1 species